rnacentral:tRNA from 1 species
GGGGCAAUAGCUCAGUUGGUUAGAGCGCCGGACUCAUAAUCCGUCGGUCGUAGGUUCAAGUCCUACUUGCCCCA